rnacentral:sRNA from 1 species
UUUUUUUUUAGUUUUUA